GACGAACGCUGGCGGCGUGCUUAACACAUGCAAGUCGAACGAAGUGGCGAAAGGGUGAGUAACGCGUAAUCAACCUGCCCUUCAGAGGGGGAAAACAGUUGGAAACGACUGCUAAUACCGCAUACUGAAGGAGGGGAUGCAGUCUGAUUAGCUAGUUGGAGGGGUAACGGCCCACCAAGGCCAUGAUCAGUAGCCGGUCUGAGAGGCUUAUCGGCAACAGUGGGACUGAGACACGGCCCAGACUCCUACGGGAGGCAGCAGUGGGGAAUCUUCCGCAAUGGACGAAAGUCUGACGGAGCAACGCCGCGUGAGUGAUGACGGCCUUCGGGUUGUAAAGCUCUGUUAAUCGGGACGCGGUACCGAAAUAGAAAGCCACGGCUAACUACGUGCCAGCAGCCGCGGUAAUAC
rnacentral:rRNA from 1 species